rnacentral:rRNA from 1 species
UACGUAGGUGGCAAGCGUUGUCCGGAUUUACUGGGCGUAAAGAGCUCGUAGGCGGCCGCUCAAGUCGAAUGUGAAACCUCGAGGCUCAACCUCGAGCCUGCAUUCGAUACUGGGCGGCUAGAGUCUGGUAGGGGGAUCUGGAAUUCCUGGUGUAGCGGUGGAAUGCGCAGAUAUCAGGAGGAACACCGGUGGCGAAGGCGGGAUCCUGGGCCAGUACUGACGCUGAGGAGCGAAAGCGUGGGGAGCAAACAGG